CUGCGGCCUAUCAGCUUGUUGGUGAGGUAAUGGCCCACCAAGGCGAUUACAGGUACGGGCUCUGAGAGGAGAAGCCCGGAGAUGGGUACUGAGACAAGGACCCAGGCCCUAUGGGGCGCAGCAGGCGAGAAAACUUUGCAAUGUGCGAAAGCACGACAAGGUUAAUCCGAGUGAUUUCUGCUAAAGGAAUCUUUUGUUAGUUCUAAAAAUACUAGUGAAUAAGGGGUGGGCAAGUUCUGGUGUCAGCCGCCGCGGUAAAACCAGCACCUCAAGUGGUCAGGAGGAUUAUUGGGCCUAAAGCAUCCGUAGCCUGUUCUAUAAGUUUGCGGUUAAAUCUAUACGCUCAACGUAUAGGCUGCUGUAAAUACUGUAGAACUAGGGAGUGGGAGAGGUAGACGGUACUCGGUAGGAAGGGGUAAAAUCCUUUGGUCUAUCGAUGACCACCUGUGGCGAAGGCGGUCUACCAGAACACGU
rnacentral:rRNA from 2 species